rnacentral:rRNA from 1 species
AUUGAACGCUGGCGGCAGGCCUAACACAUGCAAGUCGAACGAGUGGCGGACGGGUGAGUAAUGUCUGGGAAACUGCCUGAUGGCAGGGGAUACCUACUGAAAACGGUAGCUAAUACAGCAUACCAUCGGAUGUGCCCAGAAGGGAUUAGCUAGUAGGUGGGGUAAAGGCUCACCUCGGCGACGAUCCCUAGCUGGUCUGAGAGGACGACCAGCCACACUGGAACUGAGACACGGUCCAGACGCCUACGGUAGGCAGCAGUGGUGAAUAUUGCACAAUGGGCGCAAGCCUGAUGCAGCCAUGCCGCGUGUAUGAAGAAGGCCUUCGGGUUGUAAAGUACUUUCAGCAGGGAGGCGUUACCCGCAGAAGAAGCACCGGCUAACUCCGUGCCAGCAGCCGCGGUAAUUC